rnacentral:rRNA from 1 species
AGCUCACGGAACUCUUCGGAGGGAAGUGAAGGGAAUGAGCGGCGGACGGGUGAGUAACACGUAAGGAACCUGCCCCAAGGAUUGGGAUAACUCCGAGAAAUCGGAGCUAAUACCGAAUAGUUCUUCAGACCGCAUGGUCUGAUGAUGAAAGGCGCUCCGGCGUCACCUUGGGAUGGCCUUGCGGUGCAUUAGCUAGUUGGUGGGGUAAUGGCCCACCAAGGCGACGAUGCAUAGCCGACCUGAGAGGGUGAUCGGCCACACUGGGACUGAGACACGGCCCAGACUCCUACGGGAGGCAGCAGUAGGGAAUCUUCCACAAUGGACGAAAGUCUGAUGGAGCAACGCCGCGUGAGUGAUGAAGGUUUUCGGAUCGUAAAACUCUGUUGUAAGGGAAGAACAGGUAUGAGAGGUAAUGCUCAUGCUAUGACGGUACCUUACGAGAAAGCCACGGCUAACUACGUGCCAGCAGCCGCGGUAAUACGUAGGUGGCAAGCGUUGUCCGGAAUUAUUGGGCGUAAAGCGCGCGCAGGCGGCCUUUUAAGUCUGAUGUGAAAGCCCCCGGCUCAACCGGGGAGGGUCAUUGGAAACUGGAAGGCUUGAGUACAGAAGAGAAGAGUGGAAUUCCAUGUGUAGCGGUGAAAUGCGUAGAGAUGUGGAGGAACACCAGUGGCGAAGGCGACUCUUUGGUCUGUAACUGACGCUGAGGCGCGAAAGCGUGGGGAGCAAACAGGAUUAGAUACCCUGGUAGUCCACGCCGUAAACGAUGAGUGCU